rnacentral:rRNA from 1 species
AUUGAACGCUGGCGGAAUGCUUUACACAUGCAAGUCGAACGGCAGCACGGGGGCAACCCUGGUGGCGAGUGGCGAACGGGUGAGUAAUACAUCGGAACGUGCCCGGUCGUGGGGGAUAACGUAGCGAAAGUUACGCUAAUACCGCAUACGAUCUGAGGAUGAAAGCGGGGGACCUUCGGGCCUCGCGCGAUCGGAGCGGCCGAUGUCAGAUUAGGUAGUUGGUGGGGUAAAGGCCUACCAAGCCGACGAUCUGUAGCUGGUCUGAGAGGACGACCAGCCACACUGGGACUGAGACACGGCCCAGACUCCUACGGGAGGCAGCAGUGGGGAAUUUUGGACAAUGGGCGCAAGCCUGAUCCAGCCAUUCCGCGUGCAGGACGAAGGCCUUCGGGUUGUAAACUGCUUUUGUAUGGAACGAAAAGGCUCUGGCUAAUACCUGGGGCUCAUGACGGUACCGUAAGAAUAAGCACCGACUAACUACGUG